rnacentral:rRNA from 1 species
UUAAAAAGCUCGUAGUUGGAUUUCGGAGUGGGCCAGUUGGUCCGCCGCAAGGUGUGUUACUGACUGGUUUGCUCUCCUUCGCAAAGACUGCGUGUGCUCUUUGUUGAGUGUGCGUAGGAUUUACGACGUUUACUUUGAAAAAAUUAGAGUGUUCAAAGCAGGCUAUUGCUUGAAUACAUGAGCAUGGAAUAAUGGAAUAGGACUUUGGUCCCAUUUUGUUGGUUUCUAGGACCGAAGUAAUGAUUAAGAGGGACAAUUGGGGGCAUCCGUAUUUCGUUGUCAGAGGUGAAAUUCUUGGAUUUACGAAAGACGAACAACUGCGAAAGCACUUGCCAAGAGUGUUUUCAUUAAUCAAGAACGAAAGUUAGAGGAUCGAAGACGAUCAGAUACCGUCCUAGUUCUAACCAUAAACGAUGCCGACUAGGGAUCAGUGGGCCGUUAUCGUACGACCCCAUUGGCACCUUACGGGAAACCAAGUUUCUG